AUUGAACGCUGGCGGCAUGCCUUACACAUGCAAGUCGAACGGCAGCACGGGAGCAAUCCUGGUGGCGAGUGGCGAACGGGUGAGUAAUAUAUCGGAACGUGCCCAGUCGUGGGGGAUAACGCAGCGAAAGCUGUGCUAAUACCCCAUACGAUCUACGGAUGAAAGCGGGGGAUUGCAAGACCUCGCGCGAUUGGAGCGGCCGAUAGCAGAUUAGCUAGUUGGUGAGGUAAAGGCUCACCAAGGCGACAAUCUGUAGCUGGUCUGAGAGGACGACCAGCCACACUGGAACUGAGACACGGUCCAGACUCCUACGGGAGGCAGCAGUGGGGAAUUUUGGACAAUGGGCGAAAGCCUGAACCAGCAAUGCCGCGUGCAGGAUGAAGGCCUUCGGGUUGUAAACUGCUUUUGUACGGAACGAAACGGUGAGCUCUAAUAAAGUUUGCAAAUGACGGUACCGUAAGAAUAAGCACCGGCUAACUACGUGCCAGCCGCCGCCGUAA
rnacentral:rRNA from 1 species